rnacentral:lncRNA from 1 species
GGAACUUUACAGUUCUCUGACUUCAACCAGGUCAAGAGUGUAAUACUUUUUCUAAUGACCUUUUAUAGGUGAUUGGUAAGUCCAAAAGACUUGUAAAGAGUUUCAGAAGAGGAUUUGCCUAGCUUUAGGGAUUCUUAGGAACAGAAGACAAGCAACUGAUUAUCAGAUAGAGUACUGGAUUUGCAAUCAGAAUUAUGCUCAUUUAAAUUUCACCUUUGAUACUACCUGGAUGAUACCCACCUUGAACAUGUUGGCUGGAGCAAAUAAUUGUAACAGCACUCAAGAAAUGAAUGAAUACCACAGGGAACAGCUUCAACCCCCCCCCCAUCCCUCUGCCCCUGACAACGUGUAAGUAAAUCCUGCUGUGCUCCCUGUUCACAGAAAUAUCAUUCUGACAUCACUCGUGAUCACAAAAAGAUUUCUUUUCCUAUCAUUUAACAAAAUCCCAGUACCACUUCCUCACACUUUUUUCUAAAUAGAAUCUCAGAAGCUCAUUUGAAUCUCUGGGAUUUACUGGGGUUUUUAAUUACUUACUAUUUUAUUGUAAAAUUAAAUUCUUUAGGCCACAUAGAAGCCUAGUUACUAUAAGUGUAUGUGUCACUUCUCUGAUAAUAAGCAUUUCUGAGGUGAUCAUAUAGGGGAGUCCAUAAAUCUAUAUAAAUAAUAGCAAAAAAUAAAAAGAACAUAAUAUUUAAAAGGACA